UACGGAGGGUGCGAGCGUUGUUCGGAAUCACUGGGCGUAAAGCGCGUGUAGGCGGCCUUGUAAGUCUGGUGUGAAAGCCCGGGGCUUACCCCCGGAAGUGCACUGGAAACUGUGAGGCUUGAGUACCGGAGAGGAGGGUGGAAUUCCUGGUGUAGCGGUGAAAUGCGUAGAUAUCAGGAGGAACACCGGUGGCGAAGGCGGCCCUCUGGACGGAUACUGACGCUGAGACGCGAAAGCGUGGGGAGCAAAC
rnacentral:rRNA from 1 species